AGGGGUAACAGGGAAGCUUGCUUCCGCUGACGACCGGCGCACGGGUGCGUAACGCGUAUGCAACCUACCUCAUACUGGAGAAUAGCCCUUGGAAACGAGGAUUAAUGCUCCAUAGUAUCACAGAUUCGCAUGUUUUUUGUGAUUAAAGAAUUUCGGUAUGAGAUGGGCAUGCGUCCCAUUAGUUAGUUGGUAAGGUAACGGCUUACCAAGACAGCGAUGGGUAGGGGCCCUGAGAGGGGGAUCCCCCACACUGGUACUGAGACACGGACCAGACUCC
rnacentral:rRNA from 1 species